rnacentral:rRNA from 1 species
GAUAAACGCUGGCGGCGUGCCUAAUACAUGCAAGUCGAGCGAACGGACGAGAAGCUUGCUUCUCUGAUGUUAGCGGCGGACGGGUGAGUAACACGUGGAUAACCUACCUAUAAGACUGGGAUAACUUCGGGAAACCGGAGCUAAUACCGGAUAAUAUUUUGAACCGCAUGGUUCAAAAGUGAAAGACGGUCUUGCUGUCACUUAUAGAUGGAUCCGCGCUGCAUUAGCUAGUUGGUAAGGUAACGGCUUACCAAGGCAACGAUGCAUAGCCGACCUGAGAGGGUGAUCGGCCACACUGGAACUGAGACACGGUCCAGACUCCUACGGGAGGCAGCAGUAGGGAAUCUUCCGCAAUGGGCGAAAGCCUGACGGAGCAACGCCGCGUGAGUGAUGAAGGUCUUCGGAUCGUAAAACUCUGUUAUUAGGGAAGAACAUAUGUGUAAGUAACUGUGCACAUCUUGACGGUACCUAAUCAGAAAGCCACGGCUAACUACGUGCCAGCAGCCGCGGUAAUACGUAGGUGGCAAGCGUUAUCCGGAAUUAUUGGGCGUAAAGCGCGCGUAGGCGGUUUUUUAAGUCUGAUGUGAAAGCCCACGGCUCAACCGUGGAGGGUCAUUGGAAACUGGAAAACUUGAGUGCAGAAGAGGAAAGUGGAAUUCCAUGUGUAGCGGUGAAAUGCGCAGAGAUAUGGAGGAACACCAGUGGCGAAGGCGACUUUCUGGUCUGUAACUGACGCUGAUGUGCGAAAGCGUGGGGAUCAAACAGGAUUAGAUACCCUGGUAGUCCACGCCGUAAACGAUGAGUGCUAAGUGUUAGGGGGUUUCCGCCCCUUAGUGCUGCAGCUAACGCAUUAAGCACUCCGCCUGGGGAGUACGACCGCAAGGUUGAAACUCAAAGGAAUUGACGGGGACCCGCACAAGCGGUGGAGCAUGUGGUUUAAUUCGAAGCGACGCGAAGAACCUUACCAAAUCUUGACAUCCUUUGACAACUCUAGAGAUAGAGCCUUCCCCUUCGGGGGACAAAGUGACAGGUGGUGCAUGGUUGUCGUCAGCUCGUGUCGUGAGAUGUUGGGUUAAGUCCCGCAACGAGCGCAACCCUUAAGCUUAGUUGCCAUCAUUAAGUUGGGCACUCUAAGUUGACUGCCGGUGACAAACCGGAGGAAGGUGGGGAUGACGUCAAAUCAUCAUGCCCCUUAUGAUUUGGGCUACACACGUGCUACAAUGGACAAUACAAAGGGCAGCGAAACCGCGAGGUCAAGCAAAUCCCAUAAAGUUGUUCUCAGUUCGGAUUGUAGUCUGCAACUCGACUACAUGAAGCUGGAAUCGCUAGUAAUCGUAGAUCAGCAUGCUACGGUGAAUACGUUCCCGGGUCU